AGAUGUGAGGGCAAUCUGGCUGCGACAUCUGUCACCCCAUUGAUCGUCAGGGUUGAUUCAGCUGAUCUGGCUGGCUAGGUGGGCGUCCCCCUCCUCCCUCACAGCUCCACGUGCAUCCCUCCGGAAGCUGCGUGCACUCGGUUGAAGAAGACGACCUUCCUCGAAUAGAGGAGGACCAGUCUUCGGUCAAGGGUAUACAAGUAGCUGUGCUCCCCUGCUAGAACCUCCAAACACACUCUCAAGGAAACUGCAGUGUAUGUUUUGGGAAUGUAUAAGCAUGAAGAUCAGGGGAACAGAAAUAUAUCCAAACAUGAUUU
rnacentral:snRNA from 1 species